UUAUAUCGCGCCGUCCACCCAUACUUAGCCCUAAACCUAUAUCGUUGCUACGGCACCACCACUUUCCUCCGGCCAUCUCUCUCAGCCCCUCAUCUCCCUCUUCUCCUUCUAGCGUACCUGCCUCUCCCGAUCAGGAUCAAAACCACCUGCUUCGGUCCUAAGCAAAACCGCAACAUAAAUGCCCCCCCUUCGAAGAGCACACCGACCUUCUCGUCGGUGACUCUGCACGAUCCCACUGCACAUGUGGAAAGGGUUCUUGGGGUUCUUCACAAUCACGAUCAUCCCGGGCAGGAAAAGGGGAAGCUCGGGGAGCUUCGGCUUCGCCCGCGCUAGCAACACCGCGAUGCUCUCCUCGCUGCCCGCCCUUGCCUUUGCCUCGGAAGGAGAGGGGUUCCGCUGGAUGAAGUCUUUAAGGCCCUUUUCGCCGCCUGGGAAGCCUCCGGUGAGGCCGAAGAGCUCCUUUUCGAAAGUGCCUUCGUCCACGUCAACGGCAGAAGGCGGGGCAGGAGCAGGUGGGGAGGCGAGAGGAGGCGAAGGCGGCUAUUCCAUGGUGGUCUGCUGGAGCUUGUGGUGGAUGCCUCGCUCGCCAUUGCAGAGGAGCAAGAGAUCUAUCAAAGAGCGUCUGCACGGCGAUCUCGGGGAAGAUUUCAACCGUUCGAACGUAGUUUCGGCUAAAAGCGCAAACACUAUAAUUGCACUUGCUGGUAACAAAGCUGACCUGUUGGAAUCUAGACAGGUUUCUGCUGAGGAAGCCCAGAGCUAUGCUCAGGAGAAUGGUCUUUUUUUCAUGGAAACUUAUGCUAAAACAGCAGUCAAUGUCAACGAUAUAUUCUAUGAAAUUGGUAAAUCACUUUCCGAUUUUUCUUUAAUCUAGCAAGCAUGGUUCUAUUUUUUCUUGGAUGUGUGUUUGCAUCAUAUUGUCAACAGUGUUUCUUAUAUUAGAAUUUCGUUCGAGUGUCAAUGAUAACAAUUAACAAUUAGCCGUGAAUUGCAUUGUUUUCUUAUGAAGAAAAAGCAAACACCUUUUCCUAAUGCCCGAGAAAAGAGGUGUUCAAUCAUUGCAUCAAGCACAGGAAAGCUAAUAGACAUUGAUGUUGAGUCUGUGAAGAACGCAGUGGGAAUUUUUGAAGGCUCUAAAGUACUGAUUAAUUUUUGAACGCAGUGUCCAAUCGUUGUUAUGUAAACCCUCAUAGACAUCGGUUUUCAAUCAUUGCUUGAUGUCUUGAGGAAGAAAAUGAUUCUUGAUUCUGGUAAAGUCUGAAUGCUAAAUAUCUUAUGUAGGGUGCAAGGGUUAUUGCAGAUAUGCUGAAAGAAAAUCAAACUUUACGUGUACUGGAACUUAACAAUAAUAUGAUUGAAUAUUCUGGUUUUGCAAGUCUUGCUGGAGCACUAGUUGAGAAUAAGGCAAUUCGAUCUAUACAUCUCAAGCUAAUAAGACUUACACACACUUAGAUUUUCUAUCCAUGCAGUUCUUUCUUGCAGAUUUAAUUUCUUCAUCAGAUCUGUUGGCUUUCCAGUAUUUAUUGAUUGUACUACUUCUCAGCAAUUAUGUAAAACUAUAUUUCUUCUUGUUUAGGAAAAAUAACACUUCUAGAUAUUGGCAACAAUGAGAUUGGUCCCAAAGGCGCCUUUAGCAUCGCUGAGUUUGUUAAGAAAACUAAGUCCUUGCUACGGCUGAAUCUUUACAUGAAUGACAUUAGCGAUGCGGUGUGGUUAUUGACUAUUGUUUCUUUAUGCUCUGUUGCUUCACUUUUGAAACAUAAAUUAUCAUCUAAGGUGCAUAUAUAUAUCUCAUUGGAAAUCAUAUAAAUGAAUUGAUGUUACUCAUCUUUAUUGCUGUUGAGGAAUUUAUUUACUUUCCAUGUACUCUUAGUGAUAAAAGUGAAUUUAUUAUUUGCAAACUAAAAAUAAAUUUAUUUACUUUUCAUGUACUCUUAGUGGUAAACAGUUAUGCCAUUUAGGCCGACUACUAAUGAAUUGAAUUUGAAAGAUUAAAUUGCUGUUUUUGUAGUUAGAUUAAAAGUUUUGGUUUGGAUUAUAUUAAGUUCCCAGGAAUGAUAGAUCUAUUACUAUAUGAUGUGGUUGAGAUAAAUGAUGAAUGUUUUUUUUUAAGCAUUCCAAUUAGUCAUCUUGUUACCUGGUGCU